GGCGCUGCGAAGCUCGGCUGCCAGGGUUCCUGCUGAUUGCUGCAAGAGGAGAGAGACGGGAAGGUAGAUCAGCACAGGAGGGAGGGAAGAGACACAAGGGAGAAAGCAGGGGAACGGUGUAGAGUCCCUAGACGAGGCGCUUGGCAUGGUGGGCUUCAGGAGCUCGCCAUCGAGCCUCCUACUCGAUCUGGAGGUGGGAGCUUGAGGGUGAUGGGAGUACAGGCGCUACUGGUAGGUGGAUCGAGAGGAGUGACUGGUUGGUUCGGUGCCAAAAUUGAGGAGGAGAAAGUGAUGGUUGGUGAUUUGGAGCGAGGGAGAUCCGGAGGAAGAGGGGAGUUGGUCGGGUGGCGGCGGAUGGGAAGGAUGGAUGGGACAUCUCCCCUAGAAACUAGGGUUAGGCUGUUUAUAUAGUGAGUGGGUCUAUAUGCAGACUAAGGGAAGCCCUUCGAUCUAAAUCGGACGGCUGAGAAAAUAUAGGUUAGGAAGUCCAAUUAACAAAACGGAGACGUUUUGUAGAUGUUUGGGGAUGAUCCGGAUCCAACGGUGACAACUGUCCGGGUCGCGUCCGGGAAGUUUCGGACAUGCACGCGAGGGGUCGGUUGGAACUUGUGGGCUGUGCAGAAGGGCUCGAGCUGAGAGAAGAGAAGAGAGAGGCCCGGCGAUUGUUUCCGGAGACCGAAAACGUCCGACGUUAGACCGGCUAUACUGCCGCUAUAGUUCAUCGGUUAGGCUAUCAAACGAACUCCGAACGCGAUGAAAUUUGACAGGCGGUCUACCUACACUAAAAUAAGACCGCACGCCAACUUUCAAACCAUUCCGAGGACAUUUUCCGGCCACUUAUAAAAUAAAAUUUUGGACAUGCCACAGGCGCGUGCAAGUGUGUCUGGACUCAGAACGAACAACAGAAGGAACGGGGAGACCGGGACGGAUGCAAGUUUUUAAAACAUGAUGAUGCAAUGCACAUGAUGACAUGAUAAGAUGAAACACGCAAGCAAAUGACAUGGCAACGACAGCGAAUAACUGGAAGACACCUGGCACAUCGGUGUCGGGGCGUUACACUCCACCACUACGAGAGGAUCUCGUCCCGAGAUCUAGAAUGGCACCGGAGGGAAAAACAGAAGAGAAAGAGAAGAGGUAAGACUAAGUUGCUUCUUUGACAAACGAGUGAAACCAAAGAACCUUGCGAGGGUGAACAAAUUGAAAGAAAAGAAUACAAUGAAGAUGAACGAAGUGAAAAACACUCCGUUAGGAAAGAGGAACAAUGAACAUUGUGAAAAACCUUGAGGUUGAAGGGCAAGAUAUAUAUUGAAACCACUCCGGUUUAAACCAGAUAGAGAAGGAUUAGGAAUAAAAUAAUUUGGAUAGCACUCCGGAAUCAAACAAGAACUUGACAAGAUGAGAGUAAGCUUGAUGAAAUCAACAACACACUGCCUCCGAAACUAUAGAAAGAAUGGCAGAAAGGAUAAGAACGAUUUUAGACGGCACUCCGGUUGAGAAGGGAGCCAAAACUUGACAGAAUGGGACGAACUUGAAAAGAGGGCAUGACACUCCAGUUAAAUGGAUAAGCACGAAAAGAACACGAUCCUGACAAAACAAGAAGAUGUGUUGAAAAGAUCAACAUCACAAAGCCUCCGGAAGAAUAGAGAGAAUGGAAUGGAAUGAACGGGGGAGAAAAACAAGAUCUUGAGAGAGCAUGCUUUCAACAAUAACUGGGAUGGAGUUGUUGGAAAACCAACAACGAAAAGAAUAAACUUGAUAUGGUCUUAUGGAAUACAUCUCCAAUUAUGAGGUGACACCCAGCCACUCAUGGGAAAAGAAUUGAAUUGAUAAGAACAAGGAGACAAGAAAGUAUUUCGCCGGGAGGAUAAAGAAGAACUUGGGUCCUAUAUAAGCACCAUAGAUAUCAGCAGUCCUUAGGGAAGGCUUUAGGUGAAAUAUAACCCAAGAUAACUCCAAAGAAGAGAUUGAUGGAUUUAAAAUACCUCAUUCUUAACAACAUGUGAAUCAUGAAACAUGAACCCAAAUUAUCAAGAAUGAUGUAAAACCACCUUCAAUGAUACGGUAGAAAGAAAUGCACUCCAGAUAGCAAGAUGAAGAAAGCUUGAGCUCCUUUGAAAAGAAUCUCAAUGAACACUUUGAGAAGGAAUUAAAUCCUUGAUCAACCAUUAUGUAUAGCCUUCAUGAAGAAACUCCGGUAACAAAAGAAUAAAAGAAAGAGGAAUUGAAAACACAAGGUGAAUCCCUGCAAUGAUUUAGAUGAAUCUCCAUGGUGAUAUAAUUGAAAUAACUUGGAGCUCUAGAAAAGAAAGAUGAACAAAAGAAGUCAAGAAUUUUGAUGAACCUCCGGACUAAGGAAUUGAAUUUACUCGAUGAAGCAAGAAUAAGAAUUACAUUAUGCUUAUCCUUCACCAAUUAAAUUGAUGACAAAUGAUGGAUUUGGCACACUACUUAUUCUCGUAGAAAGGAUUAAGAUAGAUAUAGCACAAACUUGAGAAGGUCUUCAACGAACCACCGGUAGGGUUGAAACAACGAAUGAAUUGAUAUGAUAAACGAAGGAAGAGAAAUCUUGAAUGCACCACCGUAAGAAUUAAAAACGAAUGAAGAAAAGAUAAGGAAACACCGAGAAGAAUUAGAAAAUGAUCGUAGAUACUUGAGACCAUCUAGAUGCAAGUGGAUGAAAAUAUCACGAGCUGACUACAGGAUAUUUGAAUGAUGCACCGGUAAGAUUUGGAGAACCAUAGCUGAAAGCUGAGAAUGAAUAAAUCUUAGAUGAUGGGCUUCGGAGAAACAAACUGAAAAGAAUCUUGAAUUGCUCCGGAUGGGUGAAAAGAAUUCUCACGAUCAAAACAAUUAUGAGAGGAUGGCAUCAAGCUAGAACCAUGAGUCUCUGAGAGAAUGGAUAAGAUAUGGAGGAAAAACUCUUCUUCAGUCUUCAAAUGUUGAGAAUGACGACGAGAAACACCACCAAGAAUUAUUUAGACACUCUGGAAGAAUCAAAACGAAGAGGUUGAGCCAACGAUGAAAAGAAUUCGACAGAUCUUGGAGAAAAGCAUUUGACUGAUGAUAAAUCAUUCUUACGUCAAACUUCAAAAGAAAUUUGAGGAUAGCUCCGGGAAAAUAAGAAGAGUCAGGUAAGAUCCUAGGCAAAUACCUAUGGGUUAGGGCCCACUCAAAAGAAAACACCGUUGAAUGAUUUGAAAGAGAGGCUGCACCGGUUGAAUUAAAUGACUUGAAUGAGAUAACAACCUCGAAAGAUCUUGAAUGAAUGCAGAGUGGAAAACAUGAAUCUUCGAGAUAUCUUGAGCACUCCGGAACAAUUAAAUAGCGAGAAGUGAAUGAAUAUGAGGUGCACCAGCAUGAGAAGGUAUUUUAAACGAGGAAAAAGGAUACGAUCAACACCAAAGCUUCAUUUGAAUCCACCGGAUAAGAAAAGAAUGACGAAUGACGAACUUGAAGCUUCGUUAGCAUAUUCCUGAGAAUCAACGGAAAAGAACAUUAACGGAAAAGAAUGGAGAGACUUCUCAUCCAUAAAAGGAUACUUGAAUAAGAAAUCUGAGUCCCUGAAGAAAACAAAGGGAGGGAGAGUGGGAAAAACAAAGGCACCUUGGGAAGGAUGAAACAAACACCGUUGAGAGAGCUUGAGUUGAUCUUGCGGAUGUUGAAAUGAUUAGAUCCACUUGAAGAGAAACACGCCGGUAAAAAGGAUUAACAAGACAAUCUUGAUGAUCAAGAAGGAUUGGUAUCCACAUCGGAGUAUGAGAACACCGUUUAGAAAAGGUAUGGAAUCAACAUUUGACAUCGAAGCAACUCGAAUACCACAACUCAAAACAAAACAAAGUAUUGGCUUGCAUUAUAAGCCAAAACAAACAUAUGAUAGAAAUUCCGUCCGAAGUUUUCGUGGUGGGGCCUACACGGGCUCGAUCGUACAACACCAUCAUGUGCAAGGCAGUGCACAUGACAUACGAAGCGUCCCCGAGUCGGCAUAGCCAAGGACUCUUUAAGACACAACGAGACCACUAUAAAACCAACCGUGAAUAGGCGGACCACUAGACAUCGAACCCCAAUUUCAUAUCAUACAUCCGUCGGAAAGAUAUCCUAAGAGCUACUUGAAUUCCCACUUAUAAACUCCCGAAACUUUCCGGUUAUGCAAUCAGGUGUUGGGGAUACAGGGGAAGCAUAAUAUCUCACCCAAAACUAGCAAAUCCUACAUCCAGUUGUAUCCAUCCUUCAACACAUAACCAAGAAACCUUCAGAAAUCGUCUACCUCAACCUUCGAAAAGCAUCCGUUAUACAAGUUAUGGCAAUACUCCCGAACUCCCGCCCGGUACUGGGUGGCGUCGAGGUUAUCUCACCAACAACUGCAUAAAAGAGAUUUUUGAUGUCGGCGAAACUAAACUCAGGUAUUCCAGAACUGCAACAAUAAAAUUGUGACGACAACACCACGAAGCUCAACUCCUCGGGACACUGCCACAACCCUUAAAUGUCAGGAGGCACCAAGAACAAUGUUCUCGUCACAAAACCAUCGGAACGAUUCCAAGAUACCCGCGUGAUCCUAAAUUUUUUUAGUGAAAUUUGAGAAGAGAAAAGUCAAAACUCUACAUCAGGAUGCCUUACCAGAGCGAUGAAGGGAUUGGGGAGUAAAAAGAAAUCCUAAACUCUCCGAUAUAUAAUUCCAAAAUGACUUAAAACAUUUUUCUAGACUCAACUCGACAGCUAAUUCGAUCAAGCAGGGGGGCUCCUAAGGUCGGGGAAGGCUCUGAUUACCAACUUGUAACGCCCUCGAUGCGGCUAUAUCUCCCACGUGUCGAAACACGACUUAGAGGCAUAGCCGCAUUGAAGGCAAUGUCGCAAGUGAGGUAAUCUUCACACAAGCCAUGUAAUACAUAAGGGAAAGAGAUACAUAGUUGGCUUACAAUCGCCACUUCACACAAUUACAUGAAUAAAGCAUUACAUCAUCCAGAUACAAACAAGGUCUGACUACGGAACCAAAAUAAAAAGAAGACUACCCCAAAUGCUACACAGAUCCCCGAUCGACCCCAACUGGGCUCCACUACUGAUCAACUAGAACGAAACAACACCAAGGACAAGAUCUUCAUCGAGCUCCUCCUUGAGCUUGGUUGCGUCAUCUGCACGGUUCAACGGCACCUGCAAGCUGGUUUUGGAAGUAUCUGUGAGUCACGGGGACUCAGCAAUCUCACACCCUCGCGAUCAAGACUAAUUAAGCUUAUGGGUAAGGUAAAAGGUAUGAGGUGGAGCUGCAGCAAGCGACUAGCAUAUAUGGUGGCUAACAUACGCAAAUGAGAGCGAGAAGAGAAGGCAAAGCACGGUCGAUAAAAGUAUGAUCAAGAAGUGAUCCUAGAACAACCUACGUCAAGUAUAACUCCAACACCGUGUUCACUUCCCGGACUCCGCCAAGAAGAGACCAUCAUGGUUACACACGCAGUUGAUGCAUUUUAAUUAAGGUUAACUUCAGGUUUUCUACAACCGGACGUUAACAAAUUCCCAUCUGCCCAUAACCGCGGGCACGGCUUUCGAAAGUUCAAAUCCCUGCAGGGGUGUCCCAACUUAGCCCAUCACAAGCUCUCAUGGUCAACGAAGGAUAUUCCUUCUAGCGGGAAGACCCGAUCAGGCUCGGAAUCCCGGUUACAAGACAUUUCGACAAUGGUAAAACAAGACCAGCAAGACCACCCGUUGUGCCGACAAAUCCCGAUAGGAGCUGCACAUAUCUCGUUCUCAGGGCACACCGAAUAAGCUAAGCGUACGGGAGCCAACGUAACCCAAGUUGCCAAGGGACGGCCCCACACGGUGCUCUGGGUUGGACCAACACUCAGAGGAGCACUGGCCCGGGGGUUUAAAUAAAGAUAUCUCUUGAGUCUACAGAACCCAAGGGAAAGAAAAGGCUAGGUGGCGAAUGGUAAAACCAAUGUUGGGCCUUGCUGGAGGAGUUUUAUUCAAGGCGAACUGUCAAGGGGUUCCCAUUAUAACCCAACCGCGUAAGGAACGCAAAAUCUGGGAACAUAACACCGAUAAGACGGAAACUAGGGCGGCAAGAGUGGAACAAAACACCAGGCAUAAGGCUGAGCCUUCCACCCUUUACCAAGUAUAUAUAUGCAUUAAUUAAAUAAGAGAUAUUGUGAUAUCCCAACAAGUAAACAUGUUCCAACAAGGAACAACAUCUCCAUGUUCCAACAAGGAACAAACUUCAAUCUUCACCUGCAACUAACAACGCUAUAAGAGGGGCUGAGCAAAGCGGUAACAUAGCCAAACAACGGUUUGCUAGGACAAGGUGGGUUAGAGGCUUGGUUCAACAAUAUGGGAGGCAUGAUAAGCAAGUGCUAGGUAUCGCAGCAUAGGCAUAGCAAAAGAGCGAGCAACUAAGCAAGCAAAGAUAGAAGUGAUUUCGAGGGUAUGGUCAUCUUGCCUGAAAUCCCGCAAGAAAGAAGAACGAGUCCAUGAGGAAGACAAACGGACGUAGACGAACGGAUCCUCACAAACGCGACGUUACAGGAUCCAACCCGAAGAAGCAACACCGGAAAGAAGCACACAACAUAGUAAACAACCAUGACAUAAGCAUGGCAUGAUACACAACCAAGUAUGAUGCAUGUCCGGUUUAAAGAUACAUGGCAUGGCAAAAUGCACAAACAAUCCUACAAAUUAAGUGGAGCUCAAUAUGCAACGAGUUGCAUAUUGACGAAACACCACGUGACUUAUUUAGUUCUCUCUCGUUUAGGUAGUCAACAAUAUUAAAUGUUGAUUAACAUGGCAAGGGGUGAAGCACAACAAAACUACCUAACUAGUCAAGGUUAAAUGAGGCCGGAAGCAACGAACAACAAUUCCGAUAAAUCCCCAUAUGCAUAUAUUAGGUUUGGUACUGUUCUGCCCUAAACACAAUUUUAGAGUUGUCAAACAUGCAAAAUGAUGCCACCAUGUUAAACUAGGCAUUUUUCCACCCCAUUUACAUAUAAAGUUUAUUAGAAUCGGAGCUACGGUUAUUUAGAUAUGAAUUAAAUCAUUUUUAACAUGGCAUAGGAGAAAAUUUAAACAAACAAGAUUUUAAACAUUUUAAACAUAGAUGAAAGUGGAAAAUUAUUAAUCUACACAAAAUUCAAGCAAGAUUCAUAUUUAAAGUUUUUACAUAUGAUGCACCGCUUGUGAGAUCUGAUAUGCAUGAUGUAUGAGGGCUGAUCUGCAAAAGUGCAAUGCCCUGGAAAUUGAUAAAAUCGCAACUAAGAAAAAAACCUAACGGGCUGAAACUAAGCAGAGGCCCAACAGAGAAUAAAGAAAGAGAAUAAAGAACAAAAAAAUACACAGGAGGCGCUGGGCCUCAGCAUGGGCUUCGGCCCAGAUCUGGAGAGGAACCGCUAGGCUGAGGAAGAAGCGGCGCGGGGCUGGGCCUUCCUGGCGCUGGGCGAUGGAGGGCGAGCUGGGCCUGGGGCUAGCCGACCCAGUCGCAGUCAACGAGCGCAGAGGCCACGCGUGGGCAUUGACGAGAGGACAAAACGGAUCGGGCGCUUCUCGUCCUCCUGCUCGAAGCAGAGGAGGAGGCGGUGGUUGACGACGCCGGGGACACAGACGAGCACAGCAGCGGCAACCGCAGCUGCAAAGGGCCGACGGGGGUGCGGAAGACAGUGAGGAUGCAGCUACAGGAUGGGCGCGUUCAGCGGCUCGACCUCGAGCGCGCGCUCGACUCAAGCAUGGCACGGCGGCUUCAGGCGACGCAGGGCGGCAGUGUUCGAGGCCAAGGCGCCAGGGCAGGGGCGUGUGCAGGGACUUGGCAAAGCAGUAGACCACGGCAGCGGCGGUUACUAGCGUGGUGGCGGAGGGACGGGCGUGCUCGGGUCGAUGAAGCAAGCAGCAGGCACGGCGGUGCGAGAACUUGGAGCUCAGGGAGGAUCCGGGCGGCGGUAGCUUGCAGCCAGGACGGGAGGUGAGGCGGAUGAGCAGCUCCGGCCGGAUCCAAUCCAUGGCGGCAGCGCGGGCGAAGGAGAGGUUCGGGACGACGGCCAUGGAGUCAGGCGGAGCUCCUGGUCGAGGGCGGCGCUGCGAAGCUCGGCUGCCAGGGUUCCUGCUGAUUGCUGCAAGAGGAGAGAGACGGGAAGGUAGAUCAGCACAGGAGGGAGGGAAGAGACACAAGGGAGAAAGCAGGGGAACGGUGCAGAGUCCCUAGACGAGGCGCUUGGCAUGGUGGGCUUCAGGAGCUCGCCAUCGAGCCUCCUACUCGAUCUUGAGGUGGGAGCUUGAGGGUGAUGGGAGCACAGGCGCUGCUGGUAGGUGGAUCGAGAGGAGUGACUAGUUGGUUCGGUGACAAAAUCGAGGAGGGGAAAGUGAUGGUUGCUGAUUUGGAGCGAGGGAGAUCCCGAGGAAGAGGGGAGUUGGUCGGGUGGCGGCGGAUGGGAAGGAUGGAUGGGAC
rnacentral:lncRNA from 1 species